CACAUUCGCCACGCUCCCGCUGGGGCCGGGCUCACCGCGCGCCUCUGGGUGCCCAGCCUCCACAGGCCACGUAGCCGCCACCUGCUGCUGCAUCCCCACUGCGGGGACAGGAGCACUUAGUGCCUCCCUCCGUUCCCCCGCCCCGCGCAGGCCUCCCAUCCUCCAGGGCCAGGCGGAGGCCACGUCUUUCCCGGGCCCCCUCCCCAACGCGGAGAGGGAGGCGGAGGGAGGAGCUCGGCCCGCAGCCGCCAGCCCUCUCGGCACUGGAGCUCCCCCUCCCCUCCUUCUCCGCCCCUCGGCUGCCGCAGCCCGGAUCGCCGCGCGCGUCAGCGUGGGCUCCCCGGAGCGAGUCGCUAGGUUAGCCUGGUGA
rnacentral:lncRNA from 1 species